rnacentral:rRNA from 1 species
GGGUGCGAUCAUACCAGCGUUAAUGCAUCGAAUCCCAUCAAAACUCCGCAGUUAAGCAUGCUUGGGCUAGAGUAGUACUGGGAUGGGUGACCUCCUGGGAAGUCCUAGUGUUGCACCCU